UACGUAGGGGGCUAGCGUUAUCCGGAAUUACUGGGCGUAAAGGGCGUGCAGCCGGGCUGACAAGUCAGAUGUGAAAUCCCGCGGCUCAACCGCGGAACUGCAUUUGAAACUGUCAGUCUUGAGUACCGGAGAGGUCAUCGGAAUUCCUUGUGUAGCGGUGAAAUGCGUAGAUAUAUGGAGGAACACCGGUGGCGAAAGCGGCUCUCUGGCCUGUAACUGACGCUGAGGUUCGAAAGCGUGGGUAGCAAAUAGG
rnacentral:rRNA from 1 species